GGCUGUCUGAGGUGGAUGGCUGGCUGGCUCAAGUAUAUGGUUGACUGGUUGAGGUGAACAUCUGGCAGGACAAGAACCCCACCAAACAGGUGUGUGGCUGACUGUGGACCCACAACAAGGUGCUGCCUGGAGAUUGUGUGGCUGGCUCAGGUAAACGGCUGGUUGACUCAGGUGGACGGCUGGCUGGCUCAGUUAAAUGGCUGGUUGACUCAGGUGGACGGCUGGCUGGCUCAAGUAUAUGGUUGACUGGUUGAGGCGAACCUCUGGCAGGACAAGAACCCCACCAAACAGGUGUGUGGCUGACUGUGGACCCACAACAAGGUGCUGAAGGUAGUACAGGCAAAACUGACUUCCAACAAUGGGUGUGGUGUCCAGAUUGUCAUCAUUCA